rnacentral:rRNA from 1 species
CAAUUUGAACAACGGAGAGUUUGAUCCUGGCUCAGGAUGAACGCUAGCGAUAGGCUUAACACAUGCAAGUCGAGGGGCAGCGAGGGUAGCAAUACCUGUCGGCGACCGGCGCACGGGUGAGUAACGCGUAUGUAACCUGCCCGCAACAGUGGAAUAACCCGGCGAAAGUCGGACUAAUACCGCAUAAAACAGGGGUCCCGCAUGGGAAUAUUUGUUAAAGAUUUAUCGGUUGCGGAUGGGCAUGCGUACCAUUAGGUAGUUGGUGAGGUAACGGCUCACCAAGCCAUCGAUGGUUAGGGGUUCUGAGAGGAAGGUCCCCCACACUGGUACUGAGACACGGACCAGACUCCUACGGGAGGCAGCAGUGAGGAAUAUUGGUCAAUGGGCGAGAGCCUGAACCAGCCAAGUCGCGUGAAGGAUGACUGCCCUAUGGGUUGUAAACUUCUUUUACAGGGGAAUAAAAUGAGAUACGUGUAUUUUAUUGCAUGUACCUUGUGAAUAAGCAUCGGCUAACUCCGUGCCAGCAGCCGCGGUAAUACGGAGGAUGCGAGCGUUAUCCGGAUUUAUUGGGUUUAAAGGGUGCGUAGGUGGGCUGUUAAGUCCGCGGUGAAAGUUUGUCGCUUAACGAUAAAAUUGCCGUUGAAACUGGUAGUCUUGAGUAUAGAUGAAGUAGGCGGAAUGCGUGGUGUAGCGGUGAAAUGCAUAGAGAUCACGCAGAACUCCGAUUGCGAAGGCAGCUUACUAAGGUAUAACUGACACUGAAGCACGAAAGCGUGGGUAUCAAACAGGAUUAGAUACCCUGGUAGUCCACGCAGUAAACGAUGAUUACUAGGAGUUUGCGAUAUAGUGUAAGCUCUACAGCGAAAGCGUUAAGUAAUCCACCUGGGGAGUACGCCGGCAACGGUGAAACUCAAAGGAAUUGACGGGGGCCCGCACAAGCGGAGGAACAUGUGGUUUAAUUCGAUGAUACGCGAGGAACCUUACCCGGGAUUGAAAUGUAGACGACGGAGAGUGAGAGCUUUCUUCCCUUCGGGGCGUCUAUGUAGGUGCUGCAUGGUUGUCGUCAGCUCGUGCCGUGAGGUGUCGGCUUAAGUGCCAUAACGAGCGCAACCCUGACUGUCAGUUGCUAACAGGUAAAGCUGAGGACUCUGGCGGGACUGCCGGCGUAAGCUGUGAGGAAGGUUGGGAUGACGUCAAAUCAGCACGGCCCUUACAUCCGGGGCGACACACGUGUUACAAUGGCAGGGACAAAGGGCAGCUACCGGGCGACCGGAUGCCAAUCUCCAAACCCUGUCUCAGUUCGGAUCGGAGUCUGCAACUCGACUCCGUGAAGCUGGAUUCGCUAGUAAUCGCGCAUCAGCCAUGGCGCGGUGAAUACGUUCCCGGGCCUUGUACACACCGCCCGUCAAGCCAUGGGAGCCGGGGGUACCUGAAGUCCGUAACCGCGAGGAUCGGCCUAGGGUAAAACUGGUGACUGGGGCUAAGUCGUAACAAGGUAGCCGUACCGGAAGGUGCGGCUGGAACACCUCCUUUCUGGAGC